rnacentral:rRNA from 1 species
UACGUAGGGUGCAAGCGUUAAUCGGAAUUACUGGGCGUAAAGCGUGCGCAGGCGGUUCGUUGUGUCUGAUGUGAAAGCCCCGGGCUCAACCUGGGAAUGGCAUUGGAAACUGGCGAGCUAGAGUGUGGCAGAGGGGGGUGGAAUUCCGCGUGUAGCAGUGAAAUGCGUAGAGAUGCGGAGGAACACCGAUGGCGAAGGCAGCCCCCUGGGCUGACACUGACGCUCAGGCACGAAAGCCAGGGGAGCGAACGGG